rnacentral:rRNA from 1 species
CUGGGACUGAGACACGGCCCAGACUCCUACGGGAGGCAGCAGUGGGGAAUAUUGCACAAUGGGCGAAAGCCUGAUGCAGCGACGCCGCGUGAGGGAUGACGGCCUUCGGGUUGUAAACCUCUUUCAGCAGGGAAGAAGCGAAAGUGACGGUACCUGCAGAAGAAGCGCCGGCUAACUACGUGCCAGCAGCCGCGGUAAUACGUAGGGCGCAAGCGUUGUCCGGAAUUAUUGGGCGUAAAGAGCUCGUAGGCGGCUUGUCACGUCGGUUGUGAAAGCCCGGGGCUUAACCCCGGGUCUGCAGUCGAUACGGGCAGGCUAGAGUGCGGUAGGGGAGAUCGGAAUUCCUGGUGUAGCGGUGAAAUGCGCAGAUAUCAGGAGGAACACCGGUGGCGAAGGCGGAUCUCUGGGCCGAUACUGACGCUGAGGAGCGAAAGCGUGGGGAGCGAACAGGAUUAGAUACCCUGGUAGUCCACGCCGUAAACGGUGGGCACUAGGUGUGGGCAACAUUCCACGUUGUCCGUGCCGCAGCUAACGCAUUAAGUGCCCCGCCU